CGUGCAGGGAUCCCGCCGGACCAGCAGCGGCUGAUCUUCGCGGGGAAGCAGCUGGAGGACGGGCGCACGCUGGCCGACUACAACAUACAGAAGGAGCCGACGCUGCACCUCGUGCUCCGCCUGCGCGGGGGCAUCAUCGAGCCCUCGCUCCAGGCCCUCGCCCGCAAUUAG
rnacentral:rRNA from 1 species